CAGGGAUUGCCUUAGUAACGGCGAGUGAAGCGGCAAUAGCUCAAAUUUGAAAUCUGGCGCUUGCGUCCGAGUUGUAAUUUGCAGAGGAUGAUUUUGGUUAGGUACCUUCCGAGUUCCUUGGAACAGGACGCCUUAGAGGGUGAGAGCCCCGUACGGUUGGAUGCCGAGCCUUUGUAAAUCUCCUUCGACGAGUCGAGUAGUUUGGGAAUGCUGCUCUAAAUGGGAGGUAAAUUUCUUCUAAAGCUAAAUACCGGCCAGAGACCGAUAGCGCACAAGUAGAGUGAUCGAAAGAUGAAAAGCACUUUGAAAAGAGGGUUAAAUAGCACGUGAAAUUGUUGAAAGGGAAGGAUUUAUGACCAGACUUUUUCUAGGAGGAUCAUCCGGUGUUCUCACCGGUGCACUUCUUCUAGUUUAGGCCAGCAUCGACUUUCGGCGGUGGAUAAAAGCUUUAGGAAUGUGGCUCCUCUCGGGGAGUGUUAUAGCCUAUUGUAUAAUACACUGCUGGGGGUCGAGGUACGCGCUUCUGCAAGGAUGCUGGCGUAAUGGUUAUCAAUCACCCGUCUUGAAACACGGACCAAGGAGUCGAACAUUUGUGCAAGUGUUUGGGUGUUAAACCCUCACGCGUAAUGAAAGUGAACGGAGGUGAGAGCCCUUACGGGUGCAUCAUCGACCGAUCCUGAUGUUUUCGGAUGGAUUUGAGUAAGAGCAUAACUGUUCGGACCCGAAAGAUGGUGAACUAUGCGUGGAUAGGGUGAAGCCAGAGGAAACUCUGGUGGAGGCUCGCAGCGGUUCUGACGUGCAAAUCGAUCGUCAAAUCUGCGCAUGGGG
rnacentral:rRNA from 1 species